AUGGAUACUACAAAGAAGCAUACAAUGAAUACAGUCCAACCAACCAAAGACCACACCUUCUCUGGCUGCUAAUGAAAUACAGGAGAUUGAUUGCAGAAAAUCUUCAAGGGAAUAUUUGCUGUACCACAUAUACGUCUGUCAAUCUUUAUUGGAUAAAAAGAUGGUCUGACUUCUCCAAAGGAGGAAAAAGUAAAAUAAUGCCAAGAAGUGAUUGUUCUUGGAACCGCGAAGCUCCCAAAACACAACAGAAAAAAUUUCUUCAUGGGAAGAGUUGUGCAAA